CAGCCGCCGCAGUAAUACCGGCGGCCCGAGUGGCGGUCACUAUUAUUUGGCUUAAAGCGUCCGUAGCCGGGUUGGGAAGGCCUCCGGGAAAUCUGGCCGCUUAACGGUCAGAAUGCCGGAGGAUACUCCCAGCCUAGGGAGCGGGGGAGGCCGAGGGGAUUCCCGGAGUAGGGGGGAAAUCCUAUAAUCCCGGGAGGACCACCUGUGGCGAAGGCGCUCGGCUGGAACGCGUCCGACGGUGAGGGACGAAGGCCAGGGGAGCAAACCGGAUUAGAUACCCGGGUAGUCCUGGCUGUAAACGAUGCGGACUUUGUGUCGGACAAGCUAUGAGCUUGUCCGGUGCCGGAGGGAAACCGUUAAGUCCGCCGCCUGGGGAGUACGGCCGCAAGGCUGAAACUUAAAGGAAUUGGCGGG
rnacentral:rRNA from 1 species